UACGAAGGGGGCUAGCGUUGCUCGGAAUCACUGGGCGUAAAGCGCACGUAGGCGGGUCUUUAAGUCAGGGGUGAAAUCCUGGAGCUCAACUCCAGAACUGCCUUUGAUACUGAAGAUCUCGAGUUCGGGAGAGGUGAGUGGAACUGCGAGUGUAGAGGUGAAAUUCGUAGAUAUUCGCAAGAACACCAGUGGCGAAGGCGGCUCACUGGCCCGAUACUGACGCUGAGGCACGAAAGCGUGGGGAGCAAACAGG
rnacentral:rRNA from 1 species